AGCAGGUGGCCGGCGCGGGUGGAACCCAGCGCGGGCGCAGAGCGUCUCUGGCGUGGGCAUUCGGUGCAGCGAGUCCGCGGGAAUCUUGGAUGCGCGGAGGUCCCCGGACCGCGGUGACGGACGGGGCUGCGAUCGUGGCCGUGCGUGUGCUAAGCUCAGGUCUGAGCACUGGCGGAUCCCAUGGGUGUGGCUCUGAGGAAAUUGACGCAGUGGACUGCUGCCGGACAUGGAACUGGAAUCCUCGAAAUCACCCCUCUAAAUGAAGUGAUAUUGAAAGAAAUUAUUGUUUGUGGAGAAUUUUAUCUAUAAACAUCCCCAAGAGGCAAAAUUUGUUUUUGUGGAACCACUUGAGUGGAACACAAGUUUGGCGCCCUCCGCAUUUGAAUCAGGUUAUGUUAGCAAAGGCUCAGCAAAAGAAAUCCAAGAGGACAAACACACAGGAAAACUUGAAAAACCAAGACCAUCUGUUUCACACGGAAGAGCACAAUUACUUCGGAAGAGUGCUGAAAAGAUUGAGGAAACUGUUAGCGAUAGCUCCUCAGAAAGUGAGGAAGAUGAAGAACCACCUGACCAUCGUCAGGAAGCAAGUGCAGAUUUGCCAUCAGAAUAUUGGCAAAUUCAGAAGCUGGUGAAAUAUUUAAAG
rnacentral:lncRNA from 1 species